rnacentral:rRNA from 1 species
UGGGGAAUAUUGGACAAUGGGCGCAAGCCUGAUCCAGCCAUGCCGCGUGAGUGAUGAAGGCCCUAGGGUUGUAAAGCUCUUUCACCGGUGAAGAUAAUGACGGUAACCGGAGAAGAAGCACCGGAUAACAUCGUGCCAGCAGCCGCUGUAAUACGAAGGGGGCUAGCGUUGUUCGGAUUUACUGGGCGUAAAGCGCACGUAGGCGGACUUUUAAGUCAGGGGUGAAAUCCCGGGGCUCAACCCCGGCACUGCCUUUGAUGCUGGAAGUCUUGAGUAUGGUAGAGGUGGGUGGAAUUCCGAGUGUAGAGGUGAUAUUAGUAGAUAUUAGGAGGAACACCAGUGGCGAAGGCGGCUCACUGGACAAUUACUGACGCUGCGGUGCGAAAGCGUGGUGGGCAAACAGG